GGAGGCUGAGGCAGGAGAAUGGCGUGAACCCAGGAGGCGGAGCUGGCAGUGAGCUGAGAUCAAGCCGCUGCACUCCAGCCUGGGCAACAGAGUAAGACUCCGUCUCAAAAAAAAAAGGAAUUAGAUUGAAAAUUGUUCUCAUCACAAAUACAAGCCAGUUUUAGAAACUGUUAUUGCUUAUGAAUAAAGAAAUAGAAGUUACAAUGCUAAGGUUAUUAUAUAAUGCAUACUCAUAUGGCCAGCCUGUAAUUCAAAGGAAAAAGAUCAAAGUCUACAGAUAAACAGACUGUAGAUGAGUAAAUCCAUUUUUCUUAAAGACUCUGUAUUUUGUAGAAUUCUGUUCUCUCAUACUUUAAGUUGUCAUGGGCAAGGUAUUUUCCCAUUCCUGGCUACAGGAAGAUCAUUCUUAGUCCAGUAGUGUGCUGGAGCGAGCUUGCACCGGCUUACAAGAGCCAACUGUGAACAUUUUUUCUAGCUUCAGUGCCGUCAAGUUGGUAGUUUGAAAUUGGACAUGGUGGGAGUAUUUACACCAAAAAAAUUAGUAAACACUACAAAUCGGAUCUUUUAUUUUCCCUUGAAAGCCAUCUGUUAAACAUAUAUCAGCACACCCUAGAGGCCACAUUCACGUCUAUUCCUACAGAUACGAAAGUAAGGAACAGAACACAUUUUGUGAAAUAAAGCAUAUGAGGUAAAUCCCCCACCCAAAACCGCAUCUGGAUCUUUCCUUUGUGGGUAUUAUGGUCCAUGGUUAUCUUCUGACCAACAAAUCUCUGUUUAAUCAUGUUUUGACCACAGAAAAUCUCUCUAGGCUGUUACCAGGCUGCAGAUCCACUAAAGACUCUCCAGGCAAUCAGGAAAGGUGAAAGUUGCAGAUUGUUAGAGGAAAAAUUACAGUUUAAUGGCUGCCACAUCCAGUUUGGAAUGACCAAAGCAACAACACACCUGAGGGUGAACAGAGGUUAUCUUUUUUUCCUCAUCCCUAUUGCCGGAACAGAAUGCCAAGACCUGACGUGUAUGGCUUCCUGGGAAAGGAGAAGUGGGAAAACCAAGAUCAAGACCAGUCUCUGCCUCCAAGCUAUAUUUUCUUCUUUCUGUUGCCUUGACUAUUGUGUAAGUUAGAAUUAUCUAAUAAACUCUGCAGAAGCCUGCUAGGGAUCCAAAACACA